rnacentral:rRNA from 1 species
GUAGGGAAUCUUCCGCAAUGGGCGAAAGCCUGACGGAGCAACGCCGCGUGAGUGAUGAAGGGUUUCGGCUCGUAAAACUCUGUUAUUAGGGAAGAACAAACGUGUAAGUAACUGUGCACGUCUUGACGGUACCUAAUCAGAAAGCCACGGCUAACUACGUGCCAGCAGCCGCGGUAAUACGUAGGUGGCAAGCGUUAUCCGGAAUUAUUGGGCGUAAAGCGCGCGUAGGCGGUUUCUUAAGUCUGAUGUGAAAGCCCACGGCUCAACCGUGGAGGGUCAUUGGAAACUGGAAAACUUGAGUGCAGAAGAGGAAAGUGGAAUUCCAUGUGUAGCGGUGAAAUGCGCAGAGAUAUGGAGGAACACCAGUGGCGAAGGCGACUUUCUGGUCUGUAACUGACGCUGAUGUGCGAAAGCGUGGGGAUCAA